UACGUAGGGUGCGAGCGUUAAUCGGAAUUACUGGGCGUAAAGCGUGCGCAGGCGGUUUUGUAAGCCAGAUGUGAAAGCCCCGGGCUCAACCUGGGAAUGGCGUUUGGGACUGGAAGUCUGGAGUGCGGCAGAGGAGACUGGAAUUCCUGGUGUAGCAGUGAAAUGCGUAGAUAUCAGGAGGAACACCGAUGGCGAAGGCAGGUCUCUGGGCUGACACUGACGCUCAUGCACGAAAGCGUGGGGAGCAAACAGG
rnacentral:rRNA from 1 species